rnacentral:rRNA from 1 species
AACGUAGGAGACAAACGUUAUCCGGAGUUACUGGGCGUAAAGGGCGUGUAGGUGGUUUCGUAAGUCUGGCGUGAAAUUUCUCGGCUUAACCGAGGCAGGUCGUCGGAUACUGCGGAACUAGAGGACGGUAGAGGCGUGUGGAAUUCCGGGUGUAGUGGUGAAAUGCGUAGAGAUCCGGAGGAACACCAGUGGCGAAGGCGACACGCUGGGCCGUACCUGACACUGAGGAGCGAAAGCGUGGGGAGCCGAA